UACGUAGGGGGCAAGCGUUGUCCGGAAUGACUGGGCGUAAAGCGCGCGCAGGCGGUUUUUCACGUCUGAGGUGAAAGCCCGGGGCUUAACCCUGGGAUUGCCUUGGAAACGGGGAGACUUGAGGGUCGGAGAGGUCAGGGGAAUUCCACGUGUAGCGGUGAAAUGCGUAGAGAUGUGGAGGAAUACCAGUGGCGAAGGCGCCUGACUGGACGAAACCUGACGCUGAGAGACGAAAGCGUGGGGAGCAAACAGG
rnacentral:rRNA from 1 species